UGAAUACGAGACGCAAAGGCGUCGAAGUAGUGUAUGUCAUACUUCCAAGAAAAGCUUGCACUGUCAUAGAUAAAAAACGCCUGUACCAUAACCGACACAGGUGGGUAGGUAGAGUAUACUAAGGGGCGCGAGAUAACUCUCUCUAAGGAACUCGGCAAAAUAACUCCGUAACUUCGGGAGAAGGAGUGCCUUAUUCGUAAGGUUGCGAUAACAAGAUCCAAGCAACUGUUUAUCAAAAACACAGGUCUCCGCUAAGUCGUAAGACGAUGUAUGGGGGCUGACGCCUGCCCAGUGCCAGAAGGUUAAAGAAGUUGGUUAGCAAUUGCGAAGCUGAUAACUGAAGCCCUGGUGAACGGCGGCCGUAACGAUAACGGUCCUAAGGUAGCGAAAUUCCUUGUCGGGUAAGUUCCGACCCGCACGAAAGGCGUAAUGAUUUGGAUACUGUCUCGGAGAGGGGCUCGGUGAGAUAGACUUGUCUGUGAAGAUGCGGACUACCUGCACCAGGACAGAAAGACCCUAUGAAGCUUUACUGUAACUUGAAAUUGAAAUUGGACUUUAUUCGCGCAGUAUAGGUGGGAGGCGUUGAUUAUAAUCUUGUGGGAUUAUUGGAGCCAUCAGUGAGAUACCACUCUUGUAAUGUUAGAUUUCUAACUUUGAAUCAUUAUCUGGUCAAAGAACAGUUUCAGGCGGGCAGUUUGACUGGGGCGGUCGCCUCCUAAACGGUAACGGAGGCGUACAAAGGUUUCCUCUGAACGGUUAGAAAUCGUAUCUAGAGUGUAAAGGCAUAAGGAAGCUUGACUGUGAGACCUACAAGUCGAGCAGGGACGAAAGUCGGUCUUAGUGAUCUGACGGUACUGAGUGGAAAGGCCGUCACUCAACGGAUAAAAGUUACUCUAAGGAUAACAGGCUGAUCUCCCCCAAGAGUUCACAUCGACGGGGAGGUUUGGCACCUCGAUGUCGGCUCAUCGCAUCCUGGGGCGGUAGUACGUCCCAAGGGUUGGGCUGUUCGCCCAUGAAAGCGGUACGCGAGCUGGGUUCAGAACGUCGUGAGACAGUUCGGUCCAUAUCCGGUGUAGGCGUUAGAAUAUUGAGAGGAGCCUUCUUUAGUACGAGAGGACCGAGAAGGACAUACCUCUGGUGUACCAGUUAUCGUGCCAACGGUAAACGCUGGGUAGCUAUGUAUGGAGUGGAUAACCGCUGAAAGCAUCUAAGUGGGAAGCCACCUCAAGAUAAGUAUUCUCAUC
rnacentral:rRNA from 1 species